GACGAACGCUGGCGGCGUGCUUAACACAUGCAAGUCGAACGAAGAGCGACGGAAGCUUGCUUCUAUCAAUCUUAGUGGCGAACGGGUGAGUAACGCGUAAUCAACCUGCCCUUCAGAGGGGGACAACAGUUGGAAACGACUGCUAAUACCGCAUACGAUCUAAUCUCGGCAUCGAGGAUAGAUGAAAGGUGGCCUCUACAUGUAAGCUAUCACUGAAGGAGGGGAUUGCGUCUGAUUAGCUAGUUGGAGGGGUAACGGCCCACCAAGGCGAUGAUCAGUAGCCGGUCUGAGAGGAUGCACGGCCACAUUGGGACUGAGACACGGCCCAGACUCCUACGGGAGGCAGCAGUGGGGAAUCUUCCGCAAUGGACGAAAGUCUGACGGAGCAACGCCGCGUGAGUGAUGACGGCCUUCGGGUUGUAAAGCUCUGUUAAUCGGGACGAAAGGCCUUCUUGCGAAUAGUGAGAAGGAUUGACGGUACCGGAAUAGAAAGCCACGGCUAACUACGUG
rnacentral:rRNA from 1 species